rnacentral:rRNA from 1 species
UACCAGCUCUCCGAGUGGUAGGGAUGAUUAUUGGGCUUAAAGCGUCCGUAGCCGGCUUAGCAAGUCUCCUGUUAAAUUCAGCGACCUAAUCGUUGAGCCGCGGGAGAUACUACUAGGCUAGGAGGCGGGAGAGGUCGACGGUACUUCCGGGGUAGGGGUGAAAUCCUAUAAUCCCGGGAGGACCACCAGUGGCGAAGGCUGUUGACUAGAACGCGCUCGACGGUGAGGGACGAAAGCUGGGGGAGCGAACCGGAUUAGAUACCCGGGUAGUCCCAGCUGUAAACGAUGCGAGCUAGGUGUUGGGGUGGCUACGUGCCACUUCAGUGCCGCAGGGAAGCCAUUAAGCUCGCCGCCUGGGGAGUACGGCCGCAAGGCUGAAACUUGAAGGAAUUGGCGGGGGAGCACCACAAGGCGUGAAGCUUGCGGUUC